AAUCUUAAAAAAAAAAAAUCCAGAAGGAACAGUUCCCCAGCUAUGGAGAGUUGCCUUCUAAACCACCUUUGGCCUCAUGUUGCCAUCACCUCCCCCACCCACUUCCAUCUGUGAGACAUAGAGCUGUUUUGACACCUAGGAGUAACCAUAUUUUCGGUUUUGCUCUGGUGAGCCUGGCAGGUUGCACAGAAAGUCAGCUUGACAUUUUGGCCUAAAACGAGUGAUAAAAUAAAGUCAAACUAUCUUCCAUGUUUUUUCACAGAUGUCCAAAUAAAACAAGUUUAGGGGAAGAAGAGGAGAGGUUUGAAGGAGCAGAAGUCCCCUACAGUCUUGCUCGGAGCACUGCCGCGGAGUGAGCUCCGGCCGCAGCGCACCUGCGGGAAGGGCAGGUGGGCAGAGAGGGGGACAGCAAUCCUGCAGGCACCACCAGAGGCUUCUAGCAAGGAGCAGAGUGGCUCAUCAGCUCUUCUGCGUGUGCUCGCAAAUUAGACAUCCAUCCCAAAAGACAUUGAAAGUGAAUCAGAAGGCAAUUAAAUGAUGAAUUCGUGCUGCCCCCAGCCGCUGCGGAUGCUAUCUGACUGAUUAACCUCCGUCGCGGAGCUCUCUCUGACUGAAGGAAGCAAUGACGGAAAACGCUUGGCCUAUCACAUGACUGAUCCUGGCUGUCAUGAGCCAUCGUUUUCUAACUGCAAGCUUUCAUUUCCAAAGCCCUGGCACGGUUUCAGGAGCUGUAAACCCUCAUGCAUCCAAAGAAAUUCUCAAGAUGAGGAAAAAGGACUCGGCGAAAUGUGCGCAUCACCACGAUGUUACAGCUGGCAAAAUCCUGAAACACAAUGUGACUUCACACCUAGAUGGAUCGUGCAUCUAUUGUUUGUUGUCACUGUCACCUUCGCCUCUGUAAUUACUGACCCUCAAGUGUCCUGAUGGAAUUACCUUAGGAAAUUGGAAACAA